rnacentral:lncRNA from 1 species
AGAAGUGCUUGACUUCAUAACCCUAGAGUUCUCUUAACUUAGCCUUUUUUGUCUGUAAUUGGCACUCAGGGGUCUCAGAAUGCAGAUCCUGAGGCAGGAAUGUCUCUGGAAUAAGGAGCUCUGGCCUUUCAUUGGAGAGAAUUCUGCGUGGAGGAGCUUUGAUGAUGGACCCUCAGCACCAAGCUGUGUGAUUCCACAGGACAUCUGGGGAAUCUUUGUUGAAGAUGUACCAGGUAUUAGUAGUUGUGAUGAAAGUUCUCACCUCUCCUGCCCCAUGGCUGCUUUCAGUUUCAGUUGAGUCCUGCUGCUCCAGCCCAAGCAGCUCCAAGUGCAGAUGCAAAGUGGGAUGGACGACUGCAAAUGCCUUUUCAGGAAGAGCUGAUUUGCACUGUAAAAAAAAAUAAAUAUAUAUAUAUAUCUAAAGAUGUGUUGGAA